UAUCCCCCAAACUAAGGGGGGAUGAGAACCACCGACCGGGGUUCGACAACUGGCGCAGCCAGUUGGACAGACGACGAGCUUGCGAGGAGACUGCCCGAAGGGCGAGCGCAGCGAGUCAAUCCCCCCCUCACCCGCCA
rnacentral:sRNA from 1 species